rnacentral:rRNA from 1 species
CCUACGGGGGGCAGCAGUAGGGAAUUUUCGUCAAUGGGCGCAAGCCUGAACGAGCAAUGCCGCGUGAACGAGGAAGGUCUUCGGAUCGUAAAGUUCUGUUGACGGGGAAAAAAGACCGGGAAAGGAAAUGAUCCCGGAGGAGAUAUUACCCGUCGAGGAAGUCACGGCUAACUACGUGCCAGCAGCCGCGGUAAUACGUAGGUGGCGAGCGUUAUCCGGAAUGAUUGGGCGUAAAGGGUGCGUAGGCGGUCGAUUAAGUCUGGAGUGAAAGGUACCGGCUCAACCGGUAUAGGCUCCGGAAACUG